CCUAGUUAAUAGGUAUGCUUUAGGAGGGGCUUGCGCCAUAUUAGUUAGUUGGUAGGGUAAUGGCCUACCAAGACGAUGAUGUGUAGCUGGACUGAGAGGUUGAACAGCCACAUUGGGACUGAGACACGGCCCAAACUCCUACGGGAGGCAGCAGUAGGGAAUUUUCGGCAAUGGAGGAAACUCUGACCGAGCAACGCCGCGUGAAUGACGAAGUACUUCGGUAUGUAAAGUUCUUUUAUCGAGGAAGAAAAGCAAAUGGCGAACCAUUUGUUUGCCGGUACUUGAUGAAUAAGCCCCGGCUAAUUAUGUGCCAGCAGCCGCGGUAAGACAUAAGGGGCAAGUGUUAUCCGGAAUUAUUGGGCGUAAAGGGUGCGUAGGCGGUCUAGUAAGUCAGUGGUGUAAUGUCAACGCUUAACGUUGUCCGGCUAUUGAAACUGCUAAACUUGAGUUAGAUAGAGGCGAGUGGAAUUCCAUGUGUAGCGGUAAAAUGCGUAAAUAUAUGGAGGAACACCAGAGGCGUAGGCGGCUCGCUGGGUCUUAACUGACGCUGAGGCACGAAAGCGUGGGGAGCAAACAGGAUUAGAUACCCUGGUAGUCCACGCCGUAAACGAUGAGUACUAAGUGUCGGGUUAAACCGGUACUGAAGUUAACACAUUAAGUACUCCGCCUGAGUAGUACGUACGCAAGUAUGAAACUUAAAGGAAUUGACGGGACUCCGCACAAGCGGUGGAUCAUGUUGUUUAAUUCGAAGAUACCCGAAAAACCUUACCAGGUCUUGACAUGUUUUUGCAAAAUGAUAGUAAUAUCGUGGAGGUUACCAGAAACACAGGUGGUGCAUGGUUGUCGUCAGCUCGUGUCGUGAGAUGUUAGGUUAAGUCCUAAAACGAGCGAAACCCUUAUCGUUAGUUGCCAGCACGUUAUGGUGGGGACUUUAACGAGACUGCCAAUGAUAAAUUGGAGGAAGGUGAGGAUCACGUCAAAUCAGCAUGCCCCUUAUGACCUGGGCUACAAACGUGAUACAAUGGCUGUUACAAAGGGUAGCUGAAACGCAAGUUCUUGGCCAAUCCCCAAAAACAGUCCCAGUCCGGAUUGAAGUCUGCAACUCGACUUCAUGAAGUUGGAAUCGCUAGUAAUCGCGAAUCAGCAUGUCGCGGUGAAUACGUUCUCGG
rnacentral:rRNA from 1 species